GAUGAACGCUGGCGGCGUGCCUAAUACAUGCAAGUCGAGCGAACAGAUGAGGAGCUUGCUCCUCUGACGUUAGCGGCGGACGGGUGAGUAACACGUGGAUAACCUACCUAUAAGACUGGGAUAACUUCGGGAAACCGGAGCUAAUACCGGAUAAUAUAUUGAACCGCAUGGUUCAAUAGUGAAAGACGGCUUUGCUGUCACUUAUAGAUGGAUCCGCGCCGCAUUAGCUAGUUGGUAAGGUAACGGCUUACCAAGGCAACGAUGCGUAGCCGACCUGAGGGGGUGAUCGGCCACACUGGAACUGAGACACGGUCCAGACUCCUACGGGAGGCAGCAGUAGGGAAUCUUCCGCAAUGGGCGAAAGCCUGACGGAGCAACGCCGCGUGAGUGAUGAAGGUCUUCGGAUCGUAAAACUCUGUUAUUAGGGAAGAACAAAUGUGUAAGUAACUAUGCACGUCUUGACGGUACCUAAUCAGAAAGCCACGGCUAACUACGUG
rnacentral:rRNA from 1 species